UACAGAGGUCCCAAGCGUUGUUCGGAUUCAUUGGGCGUAAAGGGUGCGUAGGCGGCGCGGUAAGUCGGGUGUGAAAUCUCGGGGCUUAACUCCGAAACUGCAUUCGAUACUGCCGUGCAUGAGGACUGGAGAGGAGACUGGAAUUUACGGUGUAGCGGUGAAAUGCGUAGAUAUCGUAAGGAAGACCAGUGGCGAAGGCGGGGCUCUGGACAGUUCCUGACGCUGAGGCACGAAGGUCAGGGGAGCAAACGGG
rnacentral:rRNA from 1 species